GGGGAUGUAGCUCAGUGGGAGAGCGCCUACUUUGCAAGCAGGAAGUCGGCGGUUCGAAUCCGCUCAUCUCCACCA
rnacentral:tRNA from 1 species